GACGAACGCUGGCGGCGUGCCUAAUACAUGCAAGUCGUGCGCAGGAAGCUGACGGAACUCUUCGGAGGGAAGGCAGUGGAAUGAGCGGCGGACGGGUGAGUAACACGUAAGGAACCUGCCUCAAGGAUUGGGAUAACUCCGAGAAAUCGGAGCUAAUACCGGAUAGUUCAACGGACCGCAUGGUCCGCUGAUGAAAGGCGCUCCGGCGUCACCUUGAGAUGGCCUUGCGGUGCAUUAGCUAGUUGGUGGGGUAACGGCCCACCAAGGCGACGAUGCAUAGCCGACCUGAGAGGGUGAUCGGCCACACUGGGACUGAGACACGGCCCAGACUCCUACGGGAGGCAGCAGUAGGGAAUCUUCCACAAUGGACGAAAGUCUGAUGGAGCAACGCCGCGUGAGUGAUGAAGGUUUUCGGAUCGCAAAACUCUGUUGUAAGGGAAGAACACGUACGAGAGGAAAUGCUCGUACCUUGACGGUACCUUACGAGAAAGCCACGGCUAACUUCGUGCCAGCCGCCGCGGUAACAC
rnacentral:rRNA from 1 species